rnacentral:rRNA from 1 species
AUUGAACGCUGGCGGCAGGCCUAACACAUGCAAGUCGAACGAGUGGCGGACGGGUGAGUAAUGUCUGGGAAACUGCCUGAUGGAGGGGGAUAACUACUGGAAACGGUAGCUAAUACCGCAUACCAUCGGAUGUGCCCAGAUGGGAUUAGCUAGUGGGUGGGGUAAAGGCUCACCUAGGCGACGAUCCCUAGCUGGUCUGAGAGGAUGACAGGCCAAACUGAAACGGAGAGAGGGUCAGGACCCCAACGGGAGGGAGCAGGGGGGAAUAUUGAACAAUGGGGGCAAGCCUGAUGCAGCCAUGCCGGGUGUAUGAAGAAGGCCUUCGGGUUGUAAAGUACUUUCAGCGGGGAGGCGUUACCCGCGGAAGAAGCACCGGCUACCCCCGUGCCAGCCGCGGCGUAAUUC